rnacentral:rRNA from 1 species
CCUGGCGGCAAUAGCGCCGUGGAACCACCUGAUCCCAUGCCGAACUCAGAAGUGAAACGCGGUAGCGCCGAUGGUAGUGUGGCAUUCGCCAUG